rnacentral:rRNA from 1 species
AUUGAACGCUGGCGGCAUGCCUUACACAUGCAAGUCGAACGGCAGCACGGGGCAACCUGGUGGCGAGUGGCGAACGGGUGAGUAAUGCAUCGGAACGUGCCAUUGAGUGGGGGAUAACGUAGCGAAAGUUGCGCUAAUACCGCAUAUUCUGUGAGCAGGAAAGCAGGGGACCGCAAGGCCUUGCGCUCUUUGAGCGGCCGAUGUCAGAUUAGCUAGUUGGUGAGGUAACGGCUUACCAAGGCGACGAUCUGUAGCGGGUCUGAGAGGAUGAUCCGCCACACUGGAACUGAGACACGGUCCAGACUCCUACGGGAGGCAGCAGUGGGGAAUUUUGGACAAUGGGCGCAAGCCUGAUCCAGCCAUGCCGCGUGAGUGAAGAAGGCCUUCGGGUUGUAAAGCUCUUUCGGCCGGGAAGAAAUCGCAUGGGUCAAUACCCUGUGUGGAUGACGGUACCGGAAUAAGAAGCACCGGCUAACUACGUG